GUCUGCUGCAAUACCUGAGACUAAGAUAGGAUAUAUGAAGGCAACUGAUAAAGAAGGAAUAAUCUAUCUGUGAUCUGGGCUGUGGCACAAGGGAAAAGUUUACAGGCACAAGAGUAAUUCAUUAUAUAGUCCACCUUGAACUGGAAGUUGAUGGGAUCAUGAUCUGCUAGCUUGAUCAUCUUGAAAGCACCACAAAAUGAAGAUGAAACUGAUCAGGGAGGAAAAUCCUUCUUUGGUGAAGCAGGUGGAGAACUUCACCAGGAAGCUGGCAUCAGUGGCCACAAGAAUGAGACCCCGCAAGGCUGAUCAAAGGUGGAACUCCAGACAUACGGAAGAUCUUCACAGAACAGCAUUAGAGAAGGGGAAGAGUUGUAUAGCUGUCCAGUUCCUGAGCCAAAACAGCAUACCAG